rnacentral:rRNA from 1 species
UAGGGAAUCUUCGGCAAUGGACGAAAGUCUGACCGAGCAACGCCGCGUGAGUGAAGAAGGUUUUCGGAUCGUAAAACUCUGUUGUUAGAGAAGAACAAGGACGUUAGUAACUGAACGUCCCCUGACGGUAUCUAACCAGAAAGCCACGGCUAACUACGUGCCAGCAGCCGCGGUAAUACGUAGGUGGCAAGCGUUGUCCGGAUUUAUUGGGCGUAAAGCGAGCGCAGGCGGUUUCUUAAGUCUGAUGUGAAAGCCCCCGGCUCAACCGGGGAGGGUCAUUGGAAACUGGGGGACUUGAGUGCAGAAGAGGAGAGUGGAAUUCCAUGUGUAGCGGUGAGAUGCGUAGAUAUAUGGAGGAACACCAGUGGCGAAGGCGGCUCUCUGGUCUGUUACUGACGCUGAGGCUCGAAAGCGUGGGGAGCAAACAGG